GCGUAUACACGGAUGGGGCUGCUGCCAUGACUGGACGGCUGUCUGGUUCCACUACCUGGGUUAAAGAGGUUGGUCAUUCUGUGUUGGCGUAUACACGGAUGGGGCUGCUGCCAUGACUGGACGGCUGUCUGGUUCCACUACCCGGGUUAAAGAGGUUGGUCAUUCUGUGUUGGCGUAUACACGGAUGGGGCUGCUGCCAUGACUGGACGGCUGUCUGGUUCCACUACCCGGGUUAAAGAGGUUGGUCAUUCUGUGUUGGCGUAUACACGGAUGGGGCUGCUGCCAUGACUGGACGGCUGUCUGGUUCCACUACCCGGGUUAAAGAGGUUGGUCAUUCUGUGUUGGCGUAUACACGGAUGGGGCUGCUGCCAUGACUGGACGGCUGUCUGGUUCCACUACCCGGGUUAAAGAGGUUGGUCAUUCUGUGUUGGCGUAUACACGGAUGGGGCUGCUGCCAUGACUGGACGGCUGUCUGGUUCCACUACCCGGGUUAAAGAGGUUGGUCAUUCUGUGUUGGCGUAUACACGGAUGGGGCUGCUGCCAUGACUGGACGGCUGUCUGGUUCCACUACCUGGGUUAAAGAGGUUGGUCAUUCUGUGUUGGCGUAUACACGGAUGGGGCUGCUGCCAUGACUGGACGGCUGUCUGGUUCCACUACCCGGGUUAAAGAGGUUGGUCAUUCUGUGUUGGCGUAUACACGGAUGGGGCUGCUGCCAUGACUGGACGGCUGUCUGGUUCCACUACCCGGGUUAAAGAGGUUGGUCAUUCUGUGUUGGCGUAUACACGGAUGGGGCUGCUGCCAU